CCUACGGGCGGCAGCAGUAGGGAAUCUUCCACAAUGGACGAAAGUCUGAUGGAGCAACGCCGCGUGAGUGAAGAAGGGUUUCGGCUCGUAAAGCCCUGUUGGUAGUGAAGAAAGAUAGAGGUAGUAACUGGCCUUUAUUUGACGGUAAUUACUUAGAAAGUCACGGCUAACUACGUGCCAGCAGCAGCGGUAAUACGUAGGUGGCAAGCGUUGUCCGGAUUUAUUGGGCGUAAAGCGAGUGCAGGCGGUUCAAUAAGUCUGAUGUGAAAGCCUUCGGCUCAACAGGAGAAUUGCAUCAGAAACUGUGGAACUUGAGGGCAGAAGAGGAGAGUGGAACUCCAUGUGUAGCGGUGGAAUGCGUAGAUAUAUGGAAGAACACCAGUGGCGAAGGCGGCUCUCUGGUCUGCAACUGACGCUGAGGCUCGAAAGCAUGGGUAGCGAACAGGAUUAGAUACCCCGGUAGUC
rnacentral:rRNA from 1 species